rnacentral:sRNA from 1 species
GACAAACUUACCAGCCUCUCAGGGGCAAGCCAAGGUCAUUCUCACUCACUAAAGGCUCAGUGGAGGCUACAUUUGAGUAGUGUGCACAAACUUGUUGAGUCAUUGUGGACUAGGGACCAGCUGCUCUCCUAGAACCUUCCAGGCUUCAGGUGCCCAUUAAGACCAUGGAGGCAACUGCUUUGUGAGCCUACUGGUUGUUUUGCAUCAUGAAAAGUGAGAGACAACUCUUGUGGGACUACGAUGACUAAUGAGGCACCCAGGCUUGAAGAUCAAGUAAACCACUAGAUGCUCUCAGCUGCUUCUCAGAUUGCACAAAGAUCGCUGACACCAAGCAGAGCUGAAGAGAGCCACACAAGGUACAAGCUUUAUCUGCUUCAGACUUCGAACCGUUUUUGCUCUUCAUCCCUCCUGAGUGCUCCCGUUAUCCUGGGCAUGGGUCUUGCCCUUCUACUUCAAGUGCAUCUCCUGUCACCAGCUCGAAGUCACUGGACAGUCUGGAGCCUCAUACCCAUGUGACAAUCUACUCUGGUCUAGAUCUCUGUUGAUUUUUUUCUGCUCUAACACAGAGUUCUAGAAAAUAUGUGGUUCUGUAGGGAUGUGGGUACCAGAAAAUGGAGCAACAUGGUUUGUUUAAAAGGUAACAAUUGAGAUAAUUGCCCUGUAUCUUUUGUAAGAUGUCCUAUGAUCUAUCCCAAUGUGGGAUUGAUACAGCAAGAGGUGCCCAGGCAGAAAAACAAGGCUUCCAGGACACGUAAUUAGAAGCCCAAGUACAGGCAUGGUGAAAUGUUAGAUGUAUUGGCAAGACUUCUUACUAUACAAUC